rnacentral:rRNA from 1 species
AGUGAACGCUGGCGGUAGGCCUAACACAUGCAAGUCGAACGGCAACACAGUAAGCUCUUGCUCUUACCGUUGGCGACUGGCGGACGGGUGAGAAAUACAUCGGCUUCUUCUUUUUCUUGGGUGAUAACGUAAGGCCGCUUACGCUAAUACCUCAUACAACCUACCGGUGAAUUCAGUAGUUCUUCACACCUUUCGCGUUUCUUUUAGCCGAUUUCGGAUUAGCUAGUUGGCGAGGUAAAGGCCCACCAAGGCGACGAUCCGUAGCUGGUCUGAGAGGAUGAUCAGCCACACUGGAACUGAGACACGGUCCAGACUCCUACGGGAGGCAGCAGUGGGGAAUAUUGGACAAUGGGCGCAAGCCUGAUCGAGCCAUACCGCGUGGGUGAAGAAGGCCUUCGGGUUGUAAAGCCCUUUUGUUGGGGAAGAACAGCAGCAGAAUAAUACAUCGCUGUUCUGACGGUACCCAAACAAUAAGCACCGGCUAACUACGUG